GUUGACCUCGGAUCAGGUAGGAAUACCCGCUGAACUUAAGCAUAUCAAUAAGCGGAGGAAAAGAAACCAACAGGGAUUGCCCCAGUAACGGCGAGUGAAGCGGCAACAGCUCAAAUUUGAAAUCUGGCCCCAGGCCCGAGUUGUAA
rnacentral:rRNA from 1 species